UACAGAGGGUGCGAGCGUUAAUCGGAAUUACUGGGCGUAAAGCGUGCGUUAGACGGUUAUUUAAGUCGGGUGUGAAAGCCCCGGGCUCAACCUGGGAAUUGCAUUUCGAGACUGAAUAGCUAGGGUACGGUAGAGGGAAGUGGAAUUUCCGGUGUAGCGGUGAAAUGCGUAGAUAUCGGAAGGAACAUCAGUGGCGAAGGCAGCCCCCUGGGCUGACACUGACGCUACAGGCACGA
rnacentral:rRNA from 1 species